UACGUAGGGGGCAAGCGUUGUCCGGAUUUAUUGGGCGUAAAGAGCGUGUAGGCGGCCAGGUAGGUCGGUUGUGAAAACUCGAGGCUCAACCUCGAGAUGUCGACCGAAACCAUCUGGCUAGAGUCCGGAAGAGGAGAAUGGAAUUCCCGGUGUAGCGGUGAAAUGCGCAGAUAUCGGGAGGAACACCAGUGGCGAAGGCGGCACUCUGGGCCGGAACUGACGCUGAGGAGCGAAAGCGUGGGGAGCGAACAGG
rnacentral:rRNA from 1 species